AUUGAACGCUGGCGGCCGGCCUAACACAUGCAAGUCGAACGAGUGGCGGACGGGUGAGUAAUGUCUGGGAAACUGCCUGAUGGAGGGGGAUAACUACUGGAAACGGUAGCUACAACCGCAUACCAUCAGCUGUGCCCAGAUGGGAUUAGCUUGUUGGUGGGGUAACGGCACACCAAGGAGACGAUCCCUAGCUGGUCUGAGAGGAAGACCAGCACCACGGGAAAUGAGACAGGGUACGAGCUCCGACGGGAGGCAGCAGUGGGGAAUAGUGGACAAUGGGCGCAAGCCUGAUGCAGCCAUGCCGCGUGUAUGAAGAAGGUCUUCGGGGUGUAAAGUACUGUCAGCGGGGAGGCGUUACCCGCAGAAGAAGCACCGGCUAACUCCGUGCCAGCAGCCGCGGUAAUAC
rnacentral:rRNA from 1 species